CUAAUACUGGAUAAGUCUUUACGGAGAAAGCUUUAUGCACCAUUGGAUGAGCCCGCACUUGAUUAGUUUGUUGGUGGGGUAAUGGCCUACCAAGACUUUGAUCAAUAGCUGAUUUGAGAGGAUGAUCAGCCACAUUGGGACUGAGACACGGCCCAAACUCCUACGGGAGGCAGCAGUGGGGAAUCUUGCACAAUGGAGGAAACUCUGAUGCAGCGAUGCCGCGUGAGUGAAGAAGGCCCUUGGGUUGUAAAGCUCUUUCGUCGGGGAAGAAAAUGACUGUACCCGAAUAAGAAGGUCCGGCUAACUUCGUGCCAGCAGCCGCGGUAAUACGAAGGGACCUAGCGUAGUUCGGAAUUACUGGGCUUAAAGAGUUCGUAGGUGGUUGAAAAAGUUGGUGGUGAAAUCCCAGAGCUUAACUCUGGAACUGCCAUCAAAACUUUUCAGCUAGAGUUUGAUAGAGGAAAGCAGAAUUUCUAGUGUAGAGGUGAAAUUCGUAGAUAUUAGAAAGAAUACCAAUUGCGAAGGCAGCUUUCUGGAUCAUUACUGACGCUGAGGAACGAAAGCAUGGGUAGCGAAGAGGAUUAGAUACCCUCGUAGUCCAUGCCGUAAACGAUGUGUGUUAGACGUUGGAAAUUUAUUUUCAGUGUCGCAGCGAAAGCGAUAAACACACCGCCUGGGGAGUACGACCGCAAGGUUAAAACUCAAAUGAAUUGACGGGGACCCGCACAAGUAGUGGAGCAUGUGGUUUAAUUCGAAGAUACGCGCAGAACCUUACCAACACUUGACAUGUUCGUCGCGACUUUAAGAGAUUAAAGUUUUCGGUUCGGCCGGACGAAACACAGGUGCUGCAUGGCUGUCGUCAGCUCGUGUCGUGAGAUGUUGGGUUAAGUCCCGCAACGAGCGCAACCCUCACUUUUAGUUGCCAUCAUU
rnacentral:rRNA from 1 species